UUUUUUCCUUAAUUAAACCAGAUUAAUAUCGAAUUUUAAAAAAGUCUCUGCUGAAUAACUGCUUUUAUUAAAAAAAAAUUAACUAAUCCAUUUUACUUGUUAUAUAAAGAGGAAUGAUUUUUCAAACAUUCAGAAAUUUUUAAUUUAACUAAAUUAAUGUUGUAAAAAAUUACAGAAAAAGGGUAACAAUUUGACCAAACACCAUGGUGUUACUGAAAAUCUGUGCAUCCCCAAUAAAAAACAACAAUAUAAGUGUUUCAGUGUGAUGCUGGAUGGAAGAACAAAGGAACCAGUAUCUCUACAGAUCAAGAUUCAUCAAAUGACCAUGCCCACUGUCCUUCUGGAAGCAUCAGGUUUGCGGCAUGUUAGACUGGAAACCUAAGAAACAGCACUGCAGCGUAAGAAGGUGCAGCAGUCCAGCUUGCUGGCACUGGCACAGUUUCUUUCAGAGAAGAAUCAAUUUCAUCCUUAUGCUGAUGUAUUUGAUCUACAUGAAUCCUCCAAUCCUAAAAAAGGCAUCACAAAUUAAAACACAGUCAUUACUGUUACCAGGAAAAGAAUGGAAAGAAGAGGCAGAAAUACCAAAACUUAGUUUUGGUAACAGGAUACAAUUAGAAGGAGCAAAAUUAUUUUCAGCUUCAAGAUCAUAGGAGCAUACAUGGACUCCAGGGUGGGGGCUGAGAAAAGGUGCUGUGAAUUGGCCCUGCACACCAGGGUCAAAGCAAGUGACAAAGGUUCAGACAAGGUAGCACUGGAGAGCCCACUACUCACAGGUCUUUGCAUGACAGAAGACAACAACUGCAAACGGAAAGUAAACAGCAUCGACUGAAAUCACAUUUUAAUCACUGAGAACAAACCAAGAAGUAUUAAGGUCCACAUUUCUGAACAAAACAAGACAUAGAGAAUUUAUGAUAUGGACCUUAUGAAGAGACAUAGUACCUGGGACAAGCUGGUAGAUCAAAGCUACCCCAUAUUUCCUUCAGAGCUCCAUAGUAUUACAGAAAUAAACCAACUAACCAACAAAACCCAAACCCUAAACCUAAAGCCUCUGACAUCAAAUGGCCCAUUAUCAAAAGUUGUAUGGUAAUUGUAUUUUUUAUGUAUUUCUUGAAGCUCUACCUUAAAAAUAAAGCUCCAUCAAAACAAAAGCCAAACCACAACCAGACCUCAACACAGUUUUCAAGAUAUUGUUUGCACAACGUAUUUGAAGUUACAGAAUGAUGCCACAUCUUAAGUGUGCAGAAUAACACAACUGAAAUUGAGGCAAUUGCUUUUUUCUUUCCCAUGAGACCACACACUCUGUUCACAUACUCUGUAAAUCUGUUAUAGUCUCAAAAUCCCCUUCUUCUGUGACUAUGAUCACCUGAGAGCUCAUCACCCAUAAGUUAUGAUGCUUUCUCUGUGCAUUAACCUUCAUUUAUGUAUACUGUAUUUCAUCUGCCAUUUUAUCACCCAGACACUUCACCCUUAUACACCUUGUCCCCCUCUUGACUAUCUUUUCCACCAAAGUGAAAUUUCAUCAUAUACCUCCUUUCCACACAAAUCACAAAAGCUGCAAUAACACAGGUCUUAGGGUAAAAUCCUUCAAGACUCACUGAAAACCUUGGAGCUUAUUUCUCUUUCCUCUACUUUACCCAGUUUUUAACUAACAGGGACCACUAUUUUCUUCUGGUAUGUCUGACCCCACGUCCCCUGAAUACUUGCAAGAAAUUAAGACUAUAUUAAGACUAUCUUUUGCUAAUGGACAAUACAUAUUUGUGCAGCAUUUGGAAGAACACACCACCAGAACAAGAAGACUGGUUAUCAGAAGUGAGAAACCAAAUUGUGCAGAUGUCCUUGCACACCCAGCCUCACUGCCUACUGCUGGCCACCUAAUACAGGUUAUCCCUGCUAGGCUUGUCUCUGUCAGCCUCAUCAUUUUUAUUCAGAAGACUCAAAACCAAAGAACAAUCAGUGAACCUCAUUAACACUUAAUUGCUGAAAAUACUGCUAAAUUCAAUUAUGGAUACAGAUAAUAUCAAUAUACUGGCAGCAACAAUGGACCAGGAAAAAAAUUACAUUGGCAUGUAAUUAAUCCCUGUAGAACUACCAGGGGCUCUAAAAAGUGAGCAUCCUUUUGGUAUGAACUGCCUGGUAAUGUAAUACCUAGUAAAGGAAUAACACCUCAGUGGUUUUAUUAACACACAUACAUUCCAAAGAGCUAAAAGAACACAUUAAUUAUGAAAAUCAUGGCCUAGGACAAUACCUGAGAACAAACACAGAGGUUCUUUGAAGGAUUUCAACUGUGCUUUAGUUAACUGUUUCAUCCCCACUUCCCAAUUUAAGCAGCUUAUCUCUUCACAAGAUAGAGAAAAGAGCAGACAGCUGACUGUUUUCCUAUUUUAACCCUUUAGUUUAACAUCGAGAGUAGAUUUAUCAGUAGAAAAGAAACAAUUCUAAAUCUCUGUGUUUUUAAUGCAUGGUUAGGUUCCACUGCACAUAAGAACAUACACUCUGUCUUGAAGAGUUAAUCUUAUCUGAAAAGCAACAAAAAACCCUAAAGAGAAUCUGACAAUGCAGGAAUAGAGCUGCAGGAAAAAAACUUAAACAGCUAAUUGAAAAGGCUUCUUAAACAAAGCCAAAC